rnacentral:rRNA from 1 species
UACGGAAGGCAGCAGUGGGGAAUAUUGCACAAUGGGCGCAAGCCUGAUGCAGCCAUGCCGCGUGUAUGAAAAAGGCCUUCGGGUUGUAAAGUACUUUCAGUCGUGAGGAAGGUGUUAAGGUUAAUAACCUUAGCAAUUGACGUUAGCGACAGAAGAAGCACCGGCUAACUCCGUGCCAGCAGCCGCGGUAAUACGGAGGGUGCGAGCGUUAAAUCGGAAUUACUGGGCGUAAAGGGCACGCAGGCGGUUAAUUAAGUUGGAUGUGAAAUCCCCGGGCUUAAACCUGGGAAUGGCAUUCAAGACUGGUUAGCUAGAGUCUUGUAGAGGGGGUAGAAUUCCAUGUGUAGCGGUGAAAUGCGUAGAGAUGUGGAGGAAUACCGGUGGCGAAAGGCGGCCCCUGGACAAAGACUGACGCUCAUGUGCGAAAAGCGUGGGGAGCAAAACAGGGAUUAGAUACC